rnacentral:hammerhead_ribozyme from 1 species
AUCCGGAUGAUGAGUGCCAAAUUAGACGAAAUGCGCAUCCUGGAU